rnacentral:lncRNA from 1 species
CCUGCCCCGCGCCCCGCACGCUCCCGGGUGCCGGGGAUGAGGACGGGCAGCGCAAGGGCAGAGUGCGAGCUGGACGCCCCUCCCUGUGCCGGCGUCCUUGCCUGCUCGUUAGCGGCUGGAAGUGUCGCUGUUUCACCCGAACGCGAGACGAGCUUCAACAAGUUGGUUGUGAACCCUUGAAGUCAAUAAAAAUAGACAAAGCAGAAAAACACGAGAGCCGACGUCCCCGCGGGUUUAAGUGAUCUGCUCCCACGACGCUCCCAGUGUGAGCCUCAGGCAAACGGGCGUUGGAUUAGUCGGGAGACGGACAGGCUGCGGUUAUUCUGGGUGAACUGGUCUCCGUCUGUCCUGUGGCUGCCAUGGGCUGACCCAGAUAACACACACCGGGGCUGUGCACGCUCCAGCAGGAAAGCUCACACACGCACGUUCACACAUGCAGGCACACUCACACACAAGCACACACACUCAUGCACACACGCUCACACAUGCAUGCACACUCACACACAAGCACACACACAUGCACACACGCAGGCACACACAGAUGCACACACACGCAUGGUCAUACACAUGCACACUCAUGUACACACACAUGCACAUUCCAAUAGAAAAGCUCACACACACGCAUGCUCACACAACACAUGCACACACAUACACUCAUGCACACACAGACUCAUGCACACUCACACAUACAUGCUCACAAGUCACACACAUACAGGCACACUGUCACAUGAUCACACACGCACACCCACACAGGCACACUCACACACAGGCACGUUCAUACAGGCACACACACACCUGCACACACACUCAUGAACACACACACACGCAUGCACACAGGCACAGCCACACACAUGCACACCCCCACUUGCAUGCUCACAGCCACACAGGCACACUCACACACAUGCACACUCACACAGGCACACUGUCACAUACUCACACACACAGGCACACACAUGCACACACACUCAUGAACACAUACACAUGCACACAGGCAUGGUCACACACAUGCACACCCCACAUGCAUGCUCACAGUCACAAGGACACUCACACAUGCACACUCGCACACAGGCACACUGUCACAUGCUCACACACACUCACACACAUGCACACUCACACACAGGCACACACAUGCACACACACUCAUGAACACACACACAGGCACACUCACACAAGGCACACUCACACACAGGCACACUCACACACAUGCACACAGGCAUGGUCACACACAUGCACACCCCACAUGCAUGCUCACGGUCACACAUACACACUCACACAUGCAUAUUCACACGCAUGUACACUCACACACAGGCACACUCACACACUCGCACACAGGCACACUGUCACAUGCUCACACACGUGCAGUCGCAGAGCAGGGGUGGGGUCCUGGGGACAGCUCAGCUGCUGCUCCCCCACUCCUCCCGCCCAUGGAAGGCCCCCUGGGGUGGGGCUGCCCUGCCUGUGUCCGGUGCCCUCCCCCCGCCUUCCUUCCAGCCCCCAGCAGCUGGGCAGCCUCUGGUUCAGAGAAUCGUGCGUCCCCCCUCCCCUGGGGCCCCUCUCUGCACAGGCAGUGUCCACUCGGGGCCGCGGAGGGUUCCGAGUCAGGGGCUGCCGGGGGCCUCGUCCCAGCCCGGGAGCCCGCCGCCCGCUCACCGCCUCACUUCCUGUCCGGCUCAGGGUGAGUGACAGCACAAGGAGAGCCGACAGCCGCUCCCAGGGCCCCAGCUGCAGGUGGGGGCGGGAGCCUCGGGCACCAACCCUACCGCCUGCACAGGACACUCG